AACGGUGUAGCUUAGUGGCAGAGCAACGGUAUAUAGCCGUAGGGCGGCGGUCCGAAUCCGUCCACCGUUCCCA
rnacentral:tRNA from 1 species